AAUAUUGCGCAAUGGAGGAAACUCUGACGCAGCGACGCCGCGUGAGCGAUGAAGAUCUUCGGAUCGUAAAGCUCUGUUCUUGGGGAAGAAGGUCUUCGGACUUGACGGUACCCAUGGACGAAGCCCCGCCUACCUACGUCCCAGCAGCCGCGGUAAUACGUAGGGGGCAAGCGUUGUCCGGAAUUAUUGGGCGUAAAGUGUGCGUAGGCGGCCUUUUAAGUCAGAUGUGAAAGCCCACGGCUCAACCGUGGGAUUGCAUUUGAAACUGGAGGGCUUGAGUAUCGGAGAGGGUAGUGGAAUUCCCAGUGUAGCGGUGAAAUGCGUAGAUAUUGGGAGGAACACCAGUGGCGAAGGCGACUACCUGGACGAUUACUGACGCUGAUGCACGAAAGCUAGGGGAGCAAACA
rnacentral:rRNA from 1 species